UCCCUGAUGGCUUAGUGGUAAAGAAUCUGCCUGCCAAUGUAGGGGACACAGGUUCAAACCCUGAUCCAGGAA
rfam:Ovis aries breed Texel chromosome 1, whole genome shotgun sequence.